rnacentral:snoRNA from 1 species
ACAAACAAACAAACAAUCCAAGGGGAGGACCAGUGUCCCUCUUAGGAGAGUAGAAACUUGAAAUAAAAUCUGGCAUGCCUAAGUCUUUGGGGGACAGGGGAUGCUGACUUCUUUUGCCUUCUUUGACUACCUACAUGC